rnacentral:rRNA from 1 species
UUGAACGCUGGCGGCAGGCCUAACCCAUGCAAGUCGAGCGGAUGAAGGGAGCUUGCUCCUGGAUUCAGCGGCGGACGGGUGAGUAAUGCCUAGGAAUCUGCCUGGUAGUGGGGGAUAACGUCCGGAAACGGGCGCUAAUACCGCAUACGUCCUGAGGGAGAAAGUGGGGGAUCUUCGGACCUCACGCUAUCAGAUGAGCCUAGGUCGGAUUAGCUAGUUGGUGGGGUAAAGGCCUACCAAGGCGACGAUCCGUAACUGGUCUGAGAGGAUGAUCAGUCACUGGAACUGAGACACGGUCCAGACUCCUACGGGAGGCAGCAGUGGGGAAUAUUGGACAAUGGGCGAAAGCCUGAUCCAGCCAUGCCGCGUGUGUGAAGAAGGUCUUCGGAUUGUAAAGCACUUUAAGUUGGGAGGAAGGGCAGUAAGUUAAUACCUUGCUGUUUUGACGUUACCAACAGAAUAAGCACCGGCUAACUUCGUG